UACGAAGGGGGCUAGCGUGCUCGGAAUCACUGGGCGUAAAGCGCACGUAGGCGGAUCGUUAAGUCAGGGGUGAAAUCCUGGAGCUCAACUCCAGAACUGCCUUUGAUACUGGCGAUCUUGAGUUCGGGAGAGGUGAGUGGAACUGCGAGUGUAGAGGUGAAAUUCGUAGAUAUUCGCAAGAACACCAGUGGCGAAGGCGGCUCACUGGCCCGAUACUGACGCUGAGGUGCGAAAGCGUGGGGAGCAAACAGG
rnacentral:rRNA from 1 species